GACGAACGCUGGCGGCGUGCCUAAUACAUGCAAGUAGAACGCUGAAGGAGGAGCUUGCUUCUCCGGAGGAGUUGCGAACGGGUGAGUAACGCGUAGGUAACCUGCCUGGUAGCGGGGGAUAACUAUUGGAAACGAUAGCUAAUACCGCAUAAUAGCAGUUAUUGCAUGAUAACUGUUUGAAAGGUGCAAUUGCACCACUACCAGAUGGACCUGCGUUGUAUUAGCUAGUUGGUGGGGUAACGGCUCACCAAGGCGACGAUACAUAGCCGACCUGAGAGGGUGAUCGGCCACACUGGGACUGAGACACGGCCCAGACUCCUACGGGAGGCAGCAGUAGGGAAUCUUCGGCAAUGGACGGAAGUCUGACCGAGCAACGCCGCGUGAGUGAAGAAGGUUUUCGGAUCGUAAAGCUCUGUUGUAAGAGAAGAACGAGUGUGAGAGUGGAAAGUUCACACUGUGACGGUAUCUUACCAAAAG
rnacentral:rRNA from 1 species